UGGCCAUGAGCUCCGAGGGCUGGAACAGAGACAGGAUCUCCCCCCCGCACACCUUCAGGAAACCAGAGGAGAAGGCCGAGUACUGUUCACUCACCGAGUCUGAGAACACGUAACGCAGAUCAGAACCAGACUCCAUGGUGUGACCCCCGACACACACACAUAUCGUCCUGCUGCUGUAAACACUCCCAGGUGUAAAAAAAAAAUACUCAGUGACCUGGCCUCGGUGGGGGAGAGCUCUUUGAAGUCCUCCAGCAUCGGUGACACAUCCAGCAGCUUCUUGUAGAGAGCCAGAGGGAAGUGAAGGUCCACCACUGUGGAGUUAUA